UGUCCCGAUCUUUCGAUGAGAUGAUAACUAUCGAUUUGGUGGAGACGACUUUGACGAUCCGACUACAAACGUGCACGACGUUGCGCCUUAGCAAUCGCUAAACCAACUCCGAGAGGUUAUUGACCACGCUGGAGCACGAUCAACCUGACCACGAAGGUCUAUUCCUGCAAGUAAUCGAAGAACGAGCAAGAAUAUGAUAAAGCAAUCUGAAUAUUGCGAAUAUAUAUGAAGUAUUGAUAAUGGUGGGGAUCCGUAAGCGGUCUUGGUCUGGUCGUUGGACACAAACGAAGUACACGAAGUUGCACUGGCUAACUUUUAACUAAACAAAUCCCAAGGAAAAAGCUACUAGAUAGAUCUACUUAUAUAGGAGCAAGGGGUGGCGGGCAAGGAGGUGGGAGGACAUCCCAAGGCAGCCUAAAACUAACCCUAGGUCGUACAAGGCUCAUGGGCCCAAGUGGAGGUGAUGCAACACCUUUGGGCUUGUAGUUUGACUCGGAUUCUGCUGCAACGCCAGAUUGUUUCGUCCGUAACUCAACGCUCCGGACGAAUUUGAAGGUGAAUCCAAUUGGGCUGGAAAGAGCACGAAAUCUAGUUUCCAACAAAAAUCACCCAAUUCGGAGUCCGUAUGAAAAAGUUGUUGGCGUUUUGAGUCAGGUAUGUCUGUGCAGUCCGAAUCUGAAUCCAGAACGUGAGAGACUUGGACUCUAUCUUCUCUUGGCCCAAAAGUGACGUGAGAGAACUUUUUGAACAGCACUUAAACAUCUCUUUCUCCCUUAUCUUCAUAUGUGAAUUGUACAAAUAUCCCAUACACCUGCAAUUAGACAAAACACAAAAGUGUGUGAAGUAUUUUUGUUCUGGAUAACAUAAAUAGAUUUUUGAAUAGUUUGCACUAGAAAUCACCUGACAAAUAUGCAUGUAUGCAAUAUUUUUAGUCGUAUCCAAGGUAGUCAUGUCCUCAUCAGAAGAAGAAGAACGCUGUGCAGACCCCGCAGGUGCGCUCUUGGCAGAUAAUGGUGGUUGUGCCUGUUUUCUUGUAUCACGGCUGGAGGUGGCACCGGAUGGAGGUGCUGGCGCAGUUGAAGUAGAAGAUGCACGCGGUGUCCAUGAUGAAGGUCGGCCUGCAGAAAAGUUAGUUCGCCCCAAUGCUUGUCGAUCCUGCACUUCACGUUCAGCUUUACAAGCAAGAUGGAAUAAACGAGUGAUAUUAGUAUACUCCUUAUAGUCUAGAAUGGUCUGAAUCUCUCUAUUUAAUCCACCCAGAAAACGUGCAAGCAUAGCUUCAUUCUCCUCAACAAUACCACAUCUAAUCAUGCCAGUUUGUAAUUCCUGAUAAUAUUCUUCUACAGAAUUUUUUCCUUGUCUUAAACGCUGUAAUUUUUGAAGCAAUUCACGUUGAUAAUAUGGUGGAACCCAACGCGUACGCAUAGCAGUUUUCAAAGCAGACCAAGUAGUUGGAAUAGGAUAUAAUCUACAAUGUUCAGACCACCAUACACAUGCAAAACUAGUGAAAGCACAAACAGCAGCAGCAACUCGUCUCUCCUCAGGAUAUUGUAAACAUGUAAAUCGUUGUUCAGUUUCUAACUCCCAAGUAAGAUAUAUAUCAGGAACAUAUCUACCCUCAAAUGGUGGAAUAUUCAAUUUCAGUUUAGGAAUAUGGACAUCAUCUCGUACCUGAGGUGGUGGUGCAGGCCUACCAUUACGAAUAUAUACCUGAGGUCGACCUGCUGGUGGUGGUGCAGGUGGCUGCACGUAGUGCUGAUUUUGAUCAACCUCAUCCUCAUAAUCUCCCACAUAAUCAUCCUCCUCCGCAUCAGCAGCAGGAGCCACAGAAGUAUCAACAGCAGCACCAACAGUUUGGCCAAACGCAAGAGGAACACGAGUCGCUCGGCGAAGGUGAUAGAGGCGAGGGUGUCCCGAUCUUUCGAUGAGAUGAUAACUAUUGAUUUGGUGGAGACGACUUUGACGAUCCGACUACAAACGUGCACGACGUUGCGCCUUAGCAAUCGCUAAACCAACUCCGAGAGGUUAUUGACCACCCUGGAGCACGAUCAACCUGACCACGAAGGUCUAUUCCUGCAAGCAAUCGAAGAACAAGCAACAAUAUGAUAAAGCAAUCUGAAUAUUGCGAAUAUAUAUGAAGUAUUGAUAAUGGUGGGGAUCCGUAAGCGGUCUUGGUCUGGUCGUUGGACACAAACGAAGUACACGAAGUUGCAAUGGCUAACUUUUAACUAAACAAAUCCCAAGGAAAAGCUACUAGAUGGAUCUACUUAUAUAGGAGCAAGGGGUGGCGGCCAAGGAGGUGGGAGGACGUCCCAAGGCAGCCUAAAACUAAAUCUAGGUCAUACAAGGCCAAUGGGCCCAAGUGGAGGUGAUGUAACACCAUUGGACUUGUAGUUUAACUCGGAUUCUGCUGCAGCAUCAGAUUGUUUCGUCCACAACUCAACGCUCCGGACGAAUUUGAAGGUGAUUCCAAUUGGGUUGGAAAGUGCACGAAAUCUAGUUUCCAACAAAAAAAGAAUCACCCAAUUUGGAGUCCGUAUGAAAAACUUGUGUGCGUUUUGAGUCAGGUGUGUCUGUGCAGUCCGAAUCUGAAUCCAAAACGUGAGAGACUUGGACUCUAUCUUCUCUUGGGCCAAAAGUGACGUGAGAGAACUUUUUGGACAGCAAAUAAACAUCUCUUUCUUCCUUAUCUUCAUAUGUGGAUUGUACAAAUGUCCCAUACACCUGCAAUUAGACAAAACACAAAAGUGUGUGAAGUAUUUUUGUUCUGGAUAACAUAAAUAGAUUAUUGAAUAGUUUGCACUAGAAAUCACCUAACAAAUAUGCAUAUAUGCAAUAUUUUUUGUCAUAUCCAAGGUAGUCAUGUCCUCAUCAUACCACUUGAUAGAGGCGGGGUGUCCCGAUCUUUCGAUGAGAUGAUAACUAUCGAUUUGGUGGAGACGACUUUGACGAUCCGACUACAAACGUGCAACGACGUUGUGCCUUAGCAAUCGCUAAACCAACUCCGAGAGGUUAUUGACCACACCGGAGCACGAUCAACCUGACCACGAAGGUCUAUUCCUGCAAGCAAUCGAAGAACAAGCAAGAAUAUGAUAAAAGCAAUCUGAAUAUCGCGAAUAUGUAUGAAGUAUUGAUAAUGGUGGGGAUCCGAAAAGUGGUCUUGGUCUGGUCGUUGGACACAAACGAAGCACACGAAGUUGCAAUGGCUAACUUUUAACUAAACAAAUCCCAAGGAAAAGCUACUAGAUGGAUCUACUUAUAUAGGAGCAAGGGGUGGCGGCCAAGGAGGUGGGAGGACGUCCCAAGGCAGCCUAAAACUAAAUCUAGGUCGUACAAGGCCAAUGGGCCCAAGUGGAGGUGAUGUAACACCUUUGGACUUGUAGUUUGACUCGGAUUCUGCUGCAGCAUCAGAUUGUUUCGUCCACAACUCAACGCUCCGGACGAAUUUGAAGGUGAUUCCAAUUGGGUUGGAAAGUGCACGACAUCUAGUUUCCAAAAAAAAAGAAUCACCCAAUUCGGAGUCCGUAUGAAAAACUUGUGUGCGUUUUGAGUCAGGUGUGUCUGUGCAGUCCGAAUCUGAAUCCAGAACGUGAGAGACUUGGACUCUAUCUUCUCUUGGGCCAAAAGUGACGUGAGAGAACUUUUUGGACAGCAAAUAAACAUCUCUUUCUUCCUUAUCUUCAUAUGUGGAUUGUACAAAUGUCCCAUACACCUGCAAUUAGACAAAACACAAAAGUGUGUGAAGUAUUUUUGUUCUGGAUAACAUAAAUAGAUUAUUGAAUAGUUUGCACUAGAAAUCACCUGACAAAUAUGCAUAUAUGCAAUAUUUUUGGUCAUAUCCAAGGUAGUCAUGUCCUCAUCAUCCUCCCCUUCUUGAAAAUAAAGCCGUCCUCGGCGUUGCUUAAUCUGAAAUGUGGCUAACAAAAAAGACAAGGUGUACAUGUUGUAUAUGUAUAUGUCAUCCAUUUUUACUUCCCUUGAUUUUUGCAUAUAUGACACAUGAAUAGAUGAGUAACUUGUAUAGUUCAUAAAAUCUAAAGCCAAAAAAUUAGCACAAGAAGUAGAAGGCAUGAAAAUAUUGCAACUCAGUUUGCACAUAUAAGUGAAGCUCUUAUUCAUUUCAAAAGAUUGACAAUGUUCAUCAUUAAACCAUCCCAACAUUGGUGAAUAAACCUUACUUGCAUCAAAUUUACAUGCUACAACAUGCUUAAAUAAGCAAACAUGCAAUAAGUCAUUCAACACAGAAUCAUCACCAAGAUUAGAGGUCAUAUCAAAAUGAUUAAACAUUGGUUCUUUUGCAUCAAUAGUUAAUUCAAUGGGUGCACUCAAAAUUGUUGGUAUUUCAGUUGUUUGAUCACAUGGCAAAGUCAAAUUAUCAACGUAGUCCUCUAAAAUAGGUGGUGUGAUCAAAGUAGUGCGUAGCUCAUCAGAUGGUGUGAUAGAGGCAAAGGUGUCCCGUCUUUCGAUGAGAUGAUGGAUUUCGCUUUGGUGGAAGUCGACUUUGACGAUCCGACUACGAACGUGCGAGGACGUCGCGCCUUAGCAAUCGCUAAACCAACUCCGAGAGGUUAUUGACCACGCCGGAGCACGAUCAACCUGACCACGAGGGUCUGUUUCCUGCGAGCAAACGAAGAACAAGCAAGAAACUGAGAUUGCAAUCUGGAUAUUGCGAAUAUAAGAUGAAAGCUUUAUUGAUCAAGGUGGGGUUCUGUGACGCCUUUGUCUGGUCGUUGAACACAAACGAAGUACGCGAAGUUGCAGCUAUGGCGAACUUUUAAUCUAAACAAAACCCAAAGUCUAAACGAUGCCCUAAGGGCUGUAUAUAUGGAGGAAGAGGGGGGAAAUUUCGUGGCCCUUGGUGGAGGGGUCCGAAAUCAACCCUAUCUCUUGUUUCCCCACACAUACGGACUCUAAAAAUAGCCUAUACUUAUGUAUUUCGAAAUUACAUGGGCCUGGCCCAAUAAUAAGGUGACGCAGCACCUAAAAUAGCCUCGGAACGAAAUUUAUGAAGUGGCAUCUUGUAUAUUUCGUCCAAGGCUUCAUGCACCCAUUAUGGUGGCUUCAAAGUCCUGAAAUCAUCACUUGUAACUCCGUUCUUGUUCUUGCUCCAAUGUUCAUCCUUCUCCAAGCUAGGCCCUUCAUUUGUAAGCAAAACAAAUGUAUCCAAUUUAGGCAGCAUCAUAUUCUCAUGAACAUUAGAAUCAUUACCAAGAAACGAAAGUACCGGGUAGUUUAGUUGGCGUGCACGAGCUCUAGUAAUUGGUCCAGUAUGUAUAGCAGCAGGGGCUGUGGGUGUAACAAUUGUAUUGAUGUCCUCAUCAUCCUCCCCUUCUUGAAAUGAAGUCGUCCUCGACGGAAGUUCAUCUUCCUCACCCAAAUAAGGCUUCAAAUCUGCAAUGUUAAAAGUGGGACUAACCCCAAAAUCUGCAGGCAGCUCAAGUUUAUAUGCAUUAUCAUUUAUUUUCUCUAACACCUUAAAGGGACCAUCAGCACGUGGCAUUAACUUUGAUUUGCGCAAAUCAGGAAAUCUAUCCUUACGCAAAUGUAACCAAACAAGAUCUCCAGGUGCAAACAUAACAUGUUUUCUACCCUUAUCUCCAGCAAGUUUAUAUUUAGCAUUCAUACGCUCAAUGUUUUCCUUAGUUAACUCAUGCAUUUUUAAAAUCAAUUCAGCACGUUGUUUAGCAUCAAAAUUAACCUUCUCCGAAGAUGGAAGAGGCAACAAAUCAAUAGGUGCACGAGGUAGGAAACCAUACACAACUUCAAAAGGGCACAUCUUAGUAGUAGAAUGCAAUGAACGAUUAUAAGCAAAUUCAAUAUGAGGCAAGCAUUCCUCCCACAUUUUCUUAUUAUUCUUCAAAACAGCCCUAAGCAUAGUAGACAACGUUCUAUUGACUACUUCAGUUUGUCCAUCAGUUUGGGGGUGACAAGUAGUACUAAAAAGCAGUUUAGUCCCCAACUUAGCCCAUAAACAUCUCCAAAAAUGGCUAAGAAAUUUAGUAUCACGAUCUGAAACAAUAGUAUUUGGCACACCAUGCAAGCGAAUAAUUUCACGAAAGAACAAAUCAGCAACAUUAACAGCAUCAUCGCUUUUAUGACAUGGUAUAAAGUGUGCGAUUUUCGAGAAUCUAUCCACGACAACAAAUAUGCUAUCCCUCCCCUUCUUUGUUCGAGGUAAACCUAAAACAAAGUCCAUAGAUAUAUCCUCCCAAGGAACACUAGGUACAGGCAAAGGCAUAUAUAAACCAUGAGGAUUGAGUCGUGACUUAGCUUUUUGACAUGUAGUGCAUCGAGCAAUAAAACGCUCAACAUCCCGUCUCAUCUUUGGCCAAAAGAAAUGUGUAGCAAGUACGUCCUCCGUCUUCUUCACGCCAAAAUGUCCCAUUAAUCCUCCUCCAUGCGCUUCCUGCAACAACAAAAGACGAACGGAGCUAGCUGGAAUGCAUAGCUUGUUAGCACGAAACACAAAUCCAUCGUUAACGACAAACUUGUUCCACAUUCUUCCUUCUUUACAAUUCUGCAUUACAUCUUUAAAAUCAGCAUCAUGCACAUAUUGAUCUUUGAUGGUCUCCAAACCAAAUAUUUUGAAGUCAAGUUGUGAAAGCAUAGUAUAGCGACGAGACAAUGCAUCAGCAAUAACAUUUUCUUUUCCCUUCUUGUGUUUAAUGACAUAAGGGAAAGUCUCAAUGAAUUCAACCCAUUUAGCAUGUCUACGAUUCAGUUUAGCUUGACUUUUAAUAUGUUUCAAAGAUUCAUGAUCAGAAUGUAUAACAAAUUCUUUGGGCCAUAAACAAGUCCGAACAAGAGCAUAUAAUUCUUUAUCAUAAGUAGAAUAAUUCAGACUAGGCCCACUCAAUUUUUUAGAAAAGUAUGCAACAGUUUUACCAUCUUGUAAUAACACACCUCCUAAUCCAAUUCCACUAGCAUCACAUUCAAGCUCAAAAGUCUUAUUAAAAUCAGGAAGUUGGAGUAAAGGAGCAUGUGUCAACUUAUCUUUCAAUACCGUGAAGGCUUCUUCCUGUGCGGUACCCCAAAGAAAAGGCACAUCCUUCUUUGUAAGUUCGUUGAGAGGUGCAACAAUGGUGCUGAAAUCUCUCACAAAACGCCUAUAGAAUCCAGCGAGGCCAAGAAAACUCCUCACUUGUGUGACCGUUUUGGGUUGUGGCCAACUCUCAAUAGCAAGGAAACACGAAUCGGAAUCUACUUUCGUUUCUUGGUAAUGAUUCUAAUGUUCAUGAGAAUAUGAUGCUGCCUAAAUUGGAUACAUUUGUUUUGCUUACAAAUGAAGGGCCUAGCUUGGAGAAGGAUGAACAUUGGAGCAAGAACAAGCAUGGAGAUGAUGGCAUGCGCAAGGGGAACAAGAACGGAGUUACAAGUGAUGAUUUCAGGACUUUGAAGCCACCAUAAUGGGUGCAUGAAGCCUUGGACGAAAUAUACAAGAUGCCACUUCAUAAAUUUCGUCCCGAGGCUAUUUUAGGUGCUGCGUCACCUUAUUAUUGGGCCAGGCCCAUGUAAUUUCGAAAUACAUAACUAUAGGCUAUUUUUAGAGUCCGUAUGUGUGGGGAAACAAGAGAUAGGGUUGAUUUCGGACCCCUCCACCAAGGGCCACGAAAUUCCCCCCUCUUCCUCCAUAUAUACAGCCCUUAGGGCAUCGUUUAGACUUUGGGUUUUGUUUAGAUUAAAAGUUCGCCAUAGCUGCAACUUCGCGUACUUCGUUUGUGUUCAACGACCAGACAAAGGCGUCACAGAACCCCACCUUGAUCAAUAAAGCUUUCAUCUUAUAUUCGCAAUAUCCAGAUUGCAAUCUUAGUUUCUUGCUUGUUCUUCGUUUGCUCGCAGGAAACAGACCCUCGUGGUCAGGUUGAUCGUGCUCCGGCGUGGUCAAUAACCUCUCGGAGUUGGUUUAGCGAUUGCUAAGGCGCGACGUCCUCGCACGUUCGUAGUCGGAUCGUCAAAGUCGACUUCCACCAAAGCGAAAUCCACCAUCUCAUCGAAAGACGGGACACCUCCGCCUCUAUCAAUCUUACUUGGGAGUUAGAAACUGAACAACGAUUUACAUGUUUACAAUAUCCUGAGGAGAGACGAGUUGCUGCUGCCGUUUGUGCUUUCACUAGUUUUGCAUGUGUAUGGUGGUCUGAACAUUGUAGAUUAUAUCCUAUUCCAACUACUUGGGCUGCUUUGAAAACUGCUAUGCGUACGCGUUGGGUUCCACCAUAUUAUCAACGUGAAUUGCUUCAAAAAUUGCAGCGUUUAAGACAAGGGAAAAAUUCUGUAGAAGAAUAUUAUCAGGAAUUACAAACUGGCAUGAUUAGAUGUGGUAUUGUUGAGGAGAAUGAAGCUAUGCUUGCACGUUUUCUGGGUGGAUUAAAUAGAGAGAUUCAGACCAUUCUAGACUAUAAGGAGUAUACUAAUAUCACUCGUUUAUUUCAUCUUGCUUGUAAAGCUGAACGUGAAGUGCAGGAUCGACAAGCAUUGGGGCGAACUAACUUUUCUGCAGGCCGACCUUCAUCAUGGACACCACGUGCAUCUUCUACUUCAACUGCACCAGCACCUCCAUCCGGUGCCACCUCCAGCCGUGAUACAAGAAAACAGGCACAACCACCAUUAUCUGCCAAGAGCACACCUGCGGGGCCUGCACAGCGUUCUUCUUCUUCCAUGGCAUCAACAGGGCACACAAGUGAUAUUAUUUGUCGCCGUUGUAAGGGAGGAGGUCAUUAUGCGAGGGAAUGCAAAUCUCCGCGUGUGAUGAUUGCUACUGCGGAUGGUGGAUAUGAGUCCGCUAGUGACUAUGAUGAGGAGACAUUGGCUCUUAUUACACGUGAAGAACAUGGUGGAGAUGAUUCUGAUCAUGAGACGCAAUACAUGGCUCCUGAAGACGCUGACAGGUAUGAAUGUUUAGUUGCUCAACGUGUUUUGAGUGUGCAGGUCACACAAGCUGAGCAAAAUCAGAGGCACAAUUUGUUCCAUACCAAGGGAGUUGUGAAGGAACGUUCUGUGCGCGUCAUAAUAGACGGAGGGAGCUGCAACAACUUGGCUAGCAUGGAGAUGGUGGAGAAGCUUUCUCUCACCACACGACCACAUCCACAUCCUUACUACAUCCAAUGGUUCAACAACAGCGGCAAGGUUAAGGUAACACGUACUGUUCGUGUGCAUUUUAGUAUCUCUACAUAUGCUGAUUAUGUUGAUUGUGAUGUGGUACCUAUGCAAGCAUGUUCCUUAUUACUUGGUAGACCUUGGCAAUUUGAUAAAAAUUCUGUACACCAUGGUAGAAACAAUCACUAUACUCUUGUUCAUAAGGAUAAAAAUAUUACUUUGCUUCCUAUGACUCCUGAUUCCAUUUUGAAAGAUGAUAUUAAUAGAGCUAAUAAAGCAAAACAUGAGACGAAUAAGAGUGAAAAUCAGAUUGUGGCAAAAGAAUUUGAGCAACAAAUGAAGCCUAAUAAUAAACCAUCUAGUGUUGCUUCUGAAAUUAAAUUGAAAAGUGCAUGUUUAUUUGCCACCAAAUCUGAUAUUGAUGAGCUAGAUUUCAGCAAAUCUGUUUGCUAUGCUUUUGUGUGCAAAGAGGCAUUAUUUUCAUUCGAGGACGUGCCUUCCUCUUUGCCUCCUGCUGUCACUAACAUUUUGCAGGAGUUCGCUGACGUCUUUCCACAAGACGUGCCACCGGGAUUACCGCCUAUUCGAGGGAUUGAGCAUCAAAUUGACUUAAUUCCCGGUGCUUCACUGCCAAACCGUGCACCAUACCGUACCAAUCCAGAGGAGACGAAGGAGAUUAUGCGUCAAGUACUACUUGAUAGAGACGAGGGUCCCGAUCUUUCGAUGAGAUGAUAACUAUCGAUUUGAUGGAGACGACUUUCACGAUCCGACUACAAAUGUGCACGACGUUGCACCUUAGCAAUCGCUAAACCGAUCUCCUGAGGUUACUGACGAUGCUGGAAGCACGGUCAGCCUGACCACGAAGGUCUAUUCCUGCAAGCAAUCGAAGAACGAGCAAGAAUAUGAUAAAGCAAUCUGAAUAUUGCAAAUAUAUAUGAAGUAUUGAUAAUGGUGGGGAUCCGGAAGCGGUCUUGGUCUGGUCGUUGGACACAAACGAAGUACACGAAGUUGCAAUGGCUAACUUUUAACUAAACAAAUCCCAAAGUCUAAACGAUGCCCUAAGGGCUGUAUAUAUGGAGGAAGAGGGGGGGAAUUUCGUGGCCCUUGGUGGAGGAGUCCGAAAUCAACCCUAUCUCUUGUUUCCCCACACAUACGGACUCUAAAAAUAGCCUAUACUUAUGUAUUUCGAAAUUACAUGGGCCUGGCCCAAUAAUAAGGUGACGCAGCACCUAAAAUAGCCUCGGGACGAAAUUUAUGAAGUGGCAUCUUGUAUAUUUCGUCCAAGGCUUCAUGCACCCAUUAUGGUGGCUUCAAAGUCCUGAAAUCAUCACUUGUAACUCCGUUCUUGUUCCCCUUGCGCAUGCCAUCAUCUCCAUGCUUGUUCUUGCUCCAAUGUUCAUCCUUCUCCAAGCUAGGCCCUUCAUUUGUAAACAAAACAAAUGUAUCCAAUUUAGGCAGCAUCAUAUUCUCAUGAACAUUAGAAUCAUUACCAAGAAACGAAAGUACCUGGUAAUUUAGUUGGCGUGCACGAGCUCUAGUAAUUGGUCCAGUAUGUAUAGUAGCAGGGGCUGUGGGUGUAACAAUUGUAUUGAUGUCCUCAUCAGUACCACAUCACAAUCAACAUAAUCAGCAUAUGUAGAGAUACUAAAAUGCACACGAACAGUACGUGUUACCUUAACCUUGCCGCUGUUGUUGAACCAUUGGAUGUAGUAAGGAUGUGGAUGUGGUCUUGUGGUGAGAGAAAGCUUCUCCACCAUCUCCAUGCUAGCCAAGUUGUUGCAGCUCCCUCCGUCUAUUAUGACGCGCACAGAACGUUCCUUCACAACUCCCUUGGUAUGGAACAAAUUGUGCCUCUGAUUUUGCUCAGCUUGUGUGACCUGCACACUCAAAACACGUUGAGCAACUAAACAUUCAUACAUGUCAGCGUCUUCAGGAGCCAUGUAUUGCGUCUCAUGAUCAGAAUCAUCUCCACCAUGUUCUUCACGUGUAAUAAGAGCCAAUGUCUCCUCAUCAUAGUCACUAGCGGACUCAUAUCCACCAUCUGCAGUAGCAAUCAUCACACGCGGAGAUUUGCAUUCCCUCGCAUAAUGACCUCCUCCCUUACAACGACGACAAAUAAUAUCACUUGUGUGCCCUGUUGAUGCCAUGGAAGAAGAAGAACGCUGUGCAGGCCCCGCAGGUGUGCUCUUGGUAGAUAAUGGUGGUUGUGCCUGUUUUCUUGUAUCACGGCUGGAGGUGGCACCGGAUGGAGGUGCUGGUGCAGUUGAAGUAGAAGAUGCACGUGGUGUCCAUGAUGAAGGUCGGCCUGCAGAAAAGUUAGUUCGCCCUAAUGCUUGUCGAUCCUGCACUUCACGUUCAGCUUUACAAGCAAGAUGGAAUAAACGAGUGAUAUUAGUAUACUCCUUAUAGUCUAGAAUGGUCUGAAUCUCUCUAUUUAAUCCACCCAGAAAACGUGCAAGCAUAGCUUCAUUCUCCUCAACAAUACCACAUCUAAUCAUGCCAGUUUGUAAUUCCUGAUAAUAUUCUUCUACAGAAUUUUUUCCUUGUCUUAAACGCUGCAAUUUUUGAAGCAAUUCACGUUGAUAAUAUGGUGGAACCCAACGCGUACGCAUAGCAGUUUCCAAAGCAGCCCAAGUAGUUGGAAUAGGAUAUAAUCUACAAUGUUCAGACCACCAUACACAUGCAAAACUAGUGAAAGCACAAACAGCAGCAACAACUCGUCUCUCCUCAGGAUAUUGUAAACAUGUAAAUCGUUGUUCAGUUUCUAACUCCCAAGUAAGAUAUAUAUCAGGAACAUAUCUACCCUCAAAUGGUGGAAUAUUCAAUUUCAGUUUAGGAAUAUGGACAUCAUCUCGUACCUGAGGUGGUGGUGGUGCAGGCCUACCAUUACGAAUAUAUACCUGAGGUCGACCUGCUGGUGGUGGUGCUGGUGGCUGCUCGUAGAUCUGAUUUUGAUCAACCUCAUCCUCAUAAUCGCCCGCAUACUCAUCAUCCUCCUGGGUACCAGCAACAGCAGUAGCAGGAGCCACAGAAGUAUCAACAGCAGCACCAACAGUUUGGCCAAAUGCAAGAGGAACACGGCUCGCUCGGCGAAGGUCUGCUUCGCGACGUGGAGGUAGUCGUUGUUGUUGUUGUUGGAGAGGUGCGUUAGGUGCAGCGGGUGGUGGUGGUGGAAGACGCGCGAGCAAUUCAUUAAAUCUGUUAUCGAGCUUUGUUUCGAACGUCUUCUCAAGGCCAGUGAUCUUCUCCAUGGCCUCUUCAAAAUUGUUCAGCACAUCUUGCACCUGUUCAGUCAUCAUUUGCUGAAACUUAUCAUGAAGCUCCUUGUUCGAUAAAUUCUCCCAGUCAAUCUCGUCGGCUUGUGAUCCUGGCAUGGUUAGCAGCAAUAGAAACACACAAGAAUAUGAUCCUACAGACUAUGAACAAGUGGUGGUGGUGGGUGUCACAAAUCCGUCAAGCAAAACUCAAAUUCUUACCAGUUCUUACCCAGCAGCAGGCGGUGAUCGGCAACCGUUGUAGUCAAAAACUCUCAAAGCUUGGAUAGAGCGAUUACCAGGGAGAGUCAAACACACGACGUAGAUGUAUGUGGAGCUGGGAAGUGAUGAGGACAUCAAUACAAUUGUUACACCCACAGCCCCUGCUGCUAGACAUACUGGACCAAUUACUAGAGCUCGUGCACGCCAACUAAAUUACCAGGUACUUUCGUUUCUUGGUAAUGAUUCUAAUGUUCAUGAGAAUAUGAUGCUGCCUAAAUUGGAUACAUUUGUUUUGCUUACAAAUGAAGGGUCUAGCUUGGAGAAGGAUGAACAUUGGAGCAAGAACAAGCAUGGAGAUGAUGGCAUGCACAAGGGGAACAAGAACGGAGUUACAAGUGAUGAUUUCAGGACUUUGAAGCCACCAUAAUGGGUGCAUGAAGCCUUGGACGAAAUAUACAAGAUGCCACUUCAUAAAUUUCGUCCCGAGGCUAUUUUAGGUGCUGCGUCACCUUAUUAUUGGGCCAGGCCCAUGUAAUUUCGAAAUACAUAAGUAUGGGCUAUUUUUAGAGUCCGUAUGUGUGGGGAAACAAGAGAUAGGGUUGAUUUCGGACCCCUCCACCAAGGGCCACGAAAUUCCCCCCUCUUCCUCCAUAUAUACAGCCCUUAGGGCAUCGUUUAGACUUUGGGUUUUGUUUAGAUUAAAAGUUCGCCAUAGCUGCAACUUCGCGUACUUCGUUUGUGUUCAACGACCAGACAAAGGCGUCACAGAACCCCACCUUGAUCAAUAAAGCUUUCAUCUUAUAUUCGCAAUAUCCAGAUUGCAAUCUUAGUUUCUUGCUUGUUCUUCGUUUGCUCGCAGGAAACAGACCCUCGUGGUCAGGUUGAUCGUGCUCCGGCGUGGUCAAUAACCUCUCGGAGUUGGUUUAGCGAUUGCUAAGGCGCGACGUCCUCGCACGUUCGUAGUCGGAUCGUCAAAGUCGACUUCCACCAAAGCGAAAUCCACCAUCUCAUCGAAAGACGGGACACCUCCGCCUCUAUCAUGUGCCCUGUUGAUGCUAUGGAAGAAGAAGAACGCUGUGUAGGCCCCGCAGGUGCGCUCUUGGCAGAUAAUGGUGGUUGUGCCUGUUUUCUUGUAUCACGGCUGGAGGUGGCACCUGAUGGAAGUGCUGGUGCAGUUGAAGUAGAAGAUGCACGUGGUGUCCAUGAUGAAGGUCGGCCUGCAGAAAAGUUAGUUCGCCCCAAUGCUUGUCGAUCCUGCACUUCACGUUCAGCUUUACAAGCAAGAUGGAAUAAACGAGUGAUAUUAGUAUACUCCUUAUAGUCUAGAAUGGUCUGAAUCUCUCUAUUUAAUCCACCCAGAAAACGUGCAAGCAUAGCUUCAUUCUCCUCAACAAUACCACAUCUAAUCAUGCCAGUUUGUAAUUCCUGAUAAUAUUCUUCUACAGAAUUUUUUCCUUGUCUUAAACGCUGCAAUUUUUGAAGCAAUUCACAUUGAUAAUAUGGUGGAACCCAACGCGUACGCAUAGCAGUUUUCAAAGCAGCCCAAGUAGUUGGAAUAGGAUAUAAUCUACAAUGUUCAGACCACCAUACACAUGCAAAACUAGUGAAAGCACAAACGGCAGCAGCAACUCGUCUCUCCUCAGGAUAUUGUAAACAUGUAAAUCGUUGUUCAGUUUCUAACUCCCAAGUAAGAUAUAUAUCAGGAACAUAUCUACCCUCAAAUGGUGGAAUAUUCAAUUUCAGUUUAGGAAUAUGGACAUCAUCUCGUACCUGAGGUGGUGGUGCAGGCCUACCAUUACGAAUAUAUACCUGAGGUCGACCUGCUGGUGGUGGUACAGGUGGCUGCACGUAGUGUUGAUUUUGAUCAACCUCAUCCUCAUAAUCUCCCACAUAAUCAUCCUCCUCCGCAUCAGCAGCAGGAGCCACAGAAGUAUCAACAGCAGCACCAACAGUUUGGCCAAACGCGAGAGGAACACGGCUUGCUCGGCGGAGGUCUGCUUCGCGACGUGGAGGUAGUCGUUGUUGUUGUUGUUGGAGAGGUGCGUUAGGUGCAGCGGGUGGUGGUGGUGGAAGACGCGCGAGCAAUUCAUUAAAGUUGUUAUCGAGCUUUGUUUCGAACGUCUUCUCAAGGCCAGUGAUCUUCUCCAUGGCCUCUUCAAAAUUGUUCAGCACAUCUUGCACCUGUUCAGUCAUCAUUUGCUGAAACUUAUCAUGAAGCUCCUUGUUCGAUAAAUUCUCCCAGUCAAUCUCGUCGGCUUGUGAUCCUGGCAUGGUUAGCAGCAAUAGAAACACACAAGAAUAUGAUCCUACAGACUACGAACAAGUGGUGGUGGUGGGUGUCACAAAUCCGUCAAGCAAAUCUCAAAUUCUUACCAGUUCUUACCCAGCAGCAGGCGGUGAUCGGCAACCGUUGUAGUCAAAAACUCUCAAAGCUUGGAUAGAGCGAUUACCAGGGAGAGUCAAACGCACGACGUAGAUGUAUGUGGAGCUGGGAAGGCUUAUAAUAUGGUAGCAAAAAGGGUCAGCAAUAAUGAUAGAGGCAAAGGUGUCCCGUCUUUCGAUGAGAUGAUGGAUUUCGCUUUGGUGGAAGUCGACUUUGACGAUCCGACUACGAACGUGCGAGGACGUCGCGCCUUAGCAAUCGCUAAACCAACUCCGAGAGGUUAUUGACCACGCCGGAGCACGAUCAACCUGACCACGAGGGUCUGUUUCCUGCGAGCAAACGAAGAACAAGCAAGAAACUGAGAUUGCAAUCUGGAUAUUGCGAAUAUAAGAUGAAAGCUUUAUUGAUCAAGGUGGGGUUCUGUGACGCCUUUGUCUGGUCGUUGAACACAAACGAAGUACGCGAAGUUGCAGCUAUGGCGAACUUUUAAUCUAAACAAAACCCAAAGUCUAAACGAUGCCCUAAGGGCUGUAUAUAUGGAGGAAGAGGGGGGAAAUUUCGUGGCCCUUGGUGGAGGGGUCCGAAAUCAACCCUAUCUCUUGUUUCCCCACACAUACGGACUCUAAAAAUAGCCUAUACUUAUGUAUUUCGAAAUUACAUGGGCCUGGCCCAAUAAUAAGGUGACGCAGCACCUAAAAUAGCCUCGGAACGAAAUUUAUGAAGUGGCAUCUUGUAUAUUUCGUCCAAGGCUUCAUGCACCCAUUAUGGUGGCUUCAAAGUCCUGAAAUCAUCACUUGUAACUCCGUUCUUGUUCUUGCUCCAAUGUUCAUCCUUCUCCAAGCUAGGCCCUUCAUUUGUAAGCAAAACAAAUGUAUCCAAUUUAGGCAGCAUCAUAUUCUCAUGAACAUUAGAAUCAUUACCAAGAAACGAAAGUACCUGGUAGUUUAGUUGGCGUGCACGAGCUCUAGUAAUUGGUCCAGUAUGUAUAGCAGCAGGGGCUGUGGGUGUAACAAUUGUAUUGAUGUCCUCAUCAUGGUGCAUUCAAAUUGACAAGGCAUUCAUCAUUCUCAUGUAGAGAUGGAAGAUCAGUACCUUUGUCAUUACCUCUUAUGAUCAACUUAGAUGAUGUAGCCACUCUCGGGGGCGAUGUGUCACAUGGUGGAGGUGAUGUAGUCCUGACAACAACGGAUGUGGUUGUCAUAGUAUGCCUAGUAGUUGAAGGAACAAUCAUAUCAACUCUUGGAAUGUGCACUGUGCGCUUGUUCUCCUCGUGGCCAACACGUCGUUUUAUUUCCUGUUCAGCUUUGCAAGCAAGAUGAAACAAAUGGUCCAUAGGAUAACACUCUUCAUGAAUUAGUAUCUCUUGAAUAUCACGGUUUAAUCCUCCCCAAAAUCUAUCCAUAAAAUCAUCUUCACUUUCUUCUAAAGAGGAAUGCAACAAGGUAGUUUGUAGAUCAUCAUAAUAUUUUGUUACAGUUUCACUACCUUGUUUUAAGUGUUGCAACUUCUUAAUCAUGUCACGAGUAUAAUAAGCAGGGACGAAAGUAUGUCGCAUGGCAAGUUUCAAAUCAUCCCAAGUAGUAGGUAUAUAAUCAGGGUGUAACCGACAAUAUUCACUCCACCAAACCAAAGCAUAACCAGUGAAAGAACCAACCGCAACCUUAACCUUUUUAUGUUCAUCGAAAUUAUGGGAAGCAAAUAUAUUUUUUAUGUCGAACUCCCAUUCUAUAUAUAAAGCAGGUUUAAAACGACCAUUAAAUGGUGGUGUAGAUACAUUAACCUGAUCAUGUGCAUUUGGAUGUUUGUGCACCUCUCGUGACGGUUGUGGUAUUUGCAAAGGUGGUGGCACGUCUCCCGCGAUCGACAAAGCCCAUGAAUUGACUCUGGAUCCUGUCAUGAUUAGUAGAACAAGAAACAAAACCCAAAAAUAUGUUCCUAUAACUACUAGGAUGUGGUGGUAAAACGCUCACAGUAAAGCAAAUAUCAAUGUCUUACAAGUUCUUACCAUGCAGCAGGCGGUGAUCGGCAACCAGCGGUGUCAAGUAACUCCGAAUAUUGAGUAAAGCGAUUGCCAGGGGAGCGUACGUAUACACGGUGUAGAAAUAUGUGGAGCUGGGUUGGCUAUAUAUGGUAGCAAAAGAUUAGCAAUAAUCAAUUCAAAGAUGCAAUGUUGAAUAAACGUUCAACGACGGUACUCUGCUGGUCCUAGGCUAGACCGUACUAGAGACGCGAGCCUAGAACACUAAUGAGGUCACGACGUAGCACAACUAGCAUCAAUGAAGGAUACUAAGUAGCUCUUGACAGUAAGAUAUAAGUGAAGAUCACAACGGCAGUGAAGAUAAUUAUGAAAAACAACUGCCAAGGAGGAUAUACAACAACUCUCUCUCCAACUUUCCUCUUGAAAAGUUUGAGACAAUUUUUUGAUAAAUUCUUUCAAGGAAUGCUACUAACUCAAGCUUUCCAAUGCAAAAAGAAUCACUCAAUUCCGAGUUGAUAUGAGGAGUCAAAGAAUUCUAAAACUAGCCUGAAAAAUUGGAACAAGUUGUGUUCACAAACUUCGGAGGGCAAAAAGACCUAAUUAGAAGCCGAUUUUGAGGUGUCAAAUAUUGAACUAGCUUCUGCAACUAUCUAGAUGCGGCUCGUCGCUAUCUUCAAUUUGAGUACUCAAGGAGCCAAAACUGACUUCGUAUGAGGAAGAUACACCUGUUUUACUGAACAGUGCGCAAAACAGAUUCCAAUCCGAAUUCAGGUACGAGAUUGAUUCUAGAUAGAUCCAAUUUUUUUUCUCUCCUUUUUUUUCUCACGCUUUUAUUUCUUUUUCUUCUCUCUCUUUUUCUUUUUUUUCUUUCCUUUUUUCUCUUUUUUUUCUCUCUCUUUUUUUUUCUCCCUCUUUCCAAGACAAACUAGAUAAGAUGCGGAUUGGAUCAGGCGAAGAUGUGAAUGACCUCAACUAUGAUUAUGACAAUGAACAGUGCGUAGCACAUGGUGGAAAUUAAUAGAUGGGAUGGUGGACGGCGGAAGGGAUAAUGAUGCAGCGGCGGCGUGACUAAUGUGAACAGAACUCGAAACUCUAAAAGAACUAGACACUAAGACCAGCAACUGACACGACGAUGCAACCGAUAAUUCAACUAUGCAAGCAACGAAUAGAAAAUUGCAAAGGCUCAGACUGGCUUGGAUAAAGGAUGAACAGAUCUAACUUUUUUUUUGUGGCUUUUUCUUGGACAAUAGGUAAGAAAAAAAUUUAAUCUAGGAAAAACUGGAAAUUCUCACCGAGCAACCUGAAAACUGAUACCACUUGAUAAAGGCGAGGGUGUCCCGAUCUUUCGAUGAGAUGAUAACUAUUGAUUUGGUGGAGACGACUUUGACGAUCCGACUACAAACGUGCACGACGUUGCGCCUUAGCAAUCGCUAAACCAACUCCGAGAGGUUAUUGACCACGCUGGAGCACGAUCAACCUGACCACGAAGGUCUAUUCCUGCAAGCAAUCGAAGAACAAGCAAGAAUAUGAUAAAGCAAUCUGAAUAUUGCGAAUAUAUAUGAAUUAUUGAUAAUGGUGGGGAUCCGUAAGCGGUCUUGGUCUGGUCGUUGGACACAAACGAAGUACACGAAGUUGCAAUGGCUAACUUUUAACUAAACAAAUCCCAAGGAAAAGCUACUAGAUGGAUCUACUUAUAUAGGAGCAAGGGGUGGCGGCCAAGGAGGUGGGAGGACGUCCCAAGGCAGCCUAAAACUAAAUCUAGGUCAUACAAGGCCAAUGGGCCCAAGUGGAGGUGAUGUAACACCUUUGGACUUGUAGUUUAACUCGGAUUCUGCUGCAGCAUCAGAUUGUUUCGUCCACAACUCAACGCUCCGGACGAAUUUGAAGGUGAUUCCAAUUGGGUUGGAAAGUGCACGAAAUCUAGUUUCCAACAAAAAAAGCAUCACCCAAUUUGGAGUCCGUAUGAAAAACUUGUGUGCAUUUUGAGUCAGGUGUGUCUGUGCAGUCCGAAUCUGAAUCCAAAACGUGAGAGACUUGGACUCUAUCUUCUCUUGGGCCAAAAGUGACGUGAGAGAACUUUUUGGACAGCAGAUAAACAUCUCUUUCUUCCUUAUCUUCAUAUGUGGAUUGUGCAAAUGUCCCAUACACCUGCAAUUAGACAAAACACAAAAGUGUGUGAAGUAUUUUUGUUCUGGAUAACAUAAAUAGAUUAUUGAAUAGUUUGCACUAGAAAUCACCUGACAAAUAUGCAUAUAUGCAAUAUUUUUGGUCAUAUCCAAGGUAGUCAUGUCCUCAUCAGAAGGUCUGUUUCGCGAUGUGGAGGUAGUCGUUGUUGUUGUUGUUGGAGAGGUGCGUUAGAUGCAGCGGGUGGUGGUGGUGGAAGACGCGUGAGCAAGUCAUUAAACUUGUUAUCGAGCUUUGUUUCGAACGUCUUCUCAAGGCCAGUGAUCUUCUCCAUGGCCUCUUCAAAAUUGUUCAGCACAUCUUGCACCUGUUCAGUCAUCAUUUGCUGAAACUUAUCAUGAAGCUCCUUGUUUGAUAAAUUCUCCCAGUCAAUCUCGUCGGCUUGUGAUCCUGGCAUGGUUAGCAGCAAUAGAAACACACAAGAAUAUGAUCCUACAGACUACGAACAAGUGGUGGUGGUGGGUGUCACAAACCCGUCAAGCAAAACUCAAAUUCUUACCAGUUCUUACCCAGCAACAGGCGAUGAUCGGCAACCGUUGUAGUCAAAACUCUCAAAGCUUGGAUAGAGUGAUUACCAGGGAGAGUCAAAGGCACGACGUAGAUGUAUGUGGAGCUGGGAAGGCUUAUAAUUUGGUAGCAAAAAGGGUCAGCAAUAAUCAAUUCAGAGAUGCAAAGUUGAAUAAACGCUCAACGACGGUACUGUGCUGGUCCUAGGCUAGACUGUGCUAGAGACGCGAGCCUAGAGCACCAACAAAAUCACGGCGCGGCACGUAAACAAGGGAGGAGCACACUCUGAAUUUUUUUCUCUUUUUUUUUGCACUUUUUUUCCUCUUUUUUUUUUGCUCCGCAACAAAUUUUUUUCGAAAAAGUCUACAAAUGGUCUAAAAACUGCCUAGCCAGAAUUUUCCAGACUUAGUUUUUUUUUUGAAAUUGGAACUAUUUUUCUUCUGCGGAUGGCUCGGAAGUUGGCGAGUCCUUCUCUGUCACGACUCGGAGUAUCGCGUGAUCUGGAAAUCGAGAACAAUGCAACAAUUACUGGACUCGGACUAGGACUGGUGGCGGAGAUGAAUCUGGUGGAACUCGGACUGGUGGCGAAGAUGAAUCUGGUGGAACACGGACAGGUGGCGGAUAUAUGUUGCAGGUGAACUCGGAUUGGCGUGAUGGCGGCGGAUAUGUGGUGGCGUAUAUGGAUUCGGAUUGACGGUGAAUAUGUGGUGGUGGUAUAUGGCAACAGCGACGAUGAUGAUGCGGUGGUGAUAUAUGGCAGCGGCGACGUGACAACCUGUGAACAGAACUCGAAACUCUAAAAGACUAGACGCUAAGACCAGCAACUGGACAUGACGAUGCAACCGCAAAUUCAACAAAGCAAAUACAGAAAAGAUUAUGCAAGGCUCAGAUUGGUUCGGAUGGGAUGAACUAACCCUAAUUUUUUUUGGCUUUUUCGUGGACUAUAGGUAUGAAGAACAGACUCGAUCUAAACUACGAAAAACUGUAAAAUCUCACCGAGCAACCUGGAAAUCUGAUACCACUUGAUAGAGGCAAAGGUGUCCCGUCUUUCGAUGAGAUGAUGGAUAUCGCUUUGGUGGAAGUCGACUUUGAUGAUCCGACUACGAGCGUGCGAGGACGUCGCGCCUUAGCAAUCGCUAAACCAACUCCGAGAGGUUAUUGACCACGCCGGAGCACGAUCAACCUGACCACGAGGGUCUAUUUCCUGCGAGCAAACGAAGAACAAGCAAGAAACUAAGAUUGCAAUCUGGAUAUUGCGAAUAUAAGAUGAAAGCUUUAUUGAUCAAGGUGGGGUUCUGUGACGCCUUUGUCUGGUCGUUGAACACAAACGAAGUACGCGAAGUUGCAGCUAUGGCGAACUUUUAAUCUAAAC
rnacentral:lncRNA from 1 species